CUACGUGCCAGCAGCCGCGGUAAUACGGAAGGUCCGGGCGUUAUCCGGAUUUAUUGGGUUUAAAGGGAGCGUAGGCCGUGGAUUAAGCGUGUUGUGAAAUGCAGGUGCUCAACGUCUGCACUGCAGCGCGAACUGGUUCACUUGAGUGUGCGCAACGCAGGCGGAAUUCGUCGUGUAGCGGUGAAAUGCUUAGAUAUGACGAAGAACUCCGAUUGCGAAGGCAGCUUGCGGGAGCACAACUGACGCUGAAGCUCGAAAGUGCGGGUAUCGAACAGGAUUAGAUACCCUGGUAGUCCGCACGGUAAACGAUGGAUGCCCGUUGUCAGGCUGUUUCAGUCUGGUGACCAAGCGAAAGCAUUAAGCAUCCCACCUGGGGAGUACGCCGGCAACGGUGAAACUCAAAGGAAUUGACGGGGGCCCGCACAAGCGGAGGAGCAUGUGGUUUAAUUCGAUGCAACGCGAAGAACCUUACCUACUCUUGACAUCCAGAGAACAUUC
rnacentral:rRNA from 1 species